GAGCCAGAUGAAAAUGAUAUUGGUUCCCUAAAUAUUCAGCUUGAAGAUGUAAAUUUCCCACUUCAUACAGAUUUUAUCGAUCCAAAGUCUCCCAUAGCACAUCUGUGUGAAGAUAUAUGUAAUACAUUUCCUUUUGACAAUGGUUCCCAGAAUGUUGGCUUUAAAGAUAAAAUUUUCCACUUGAUAUAGAUUUUAUAGAUCCAAAGUCUCUCAUAUAGAAUUGGAUGAUGAUAUUAUGAUAAUAAAUAAAUUAGAAAAUAUCCCUAGAUAUUUUUUUCCUACAACAAAAGCAUGGAAAAAAUAUGCCAAAAUAUAUGCUCUAAAACCUCCCAAACAUUGUUGGGAUGUAGACUAUGGUAAACAACUUGGUGAAUCAACUAUCUUGGGGCAAAUUGAAGGUGAUGGGAAUUGUUUUUAUAGGGCUAUUAGUGUGAUCACAGGGGCUCAAAAUUCCCAUAUUAUUCUCAGGCAAUGGUUAAUUUAUGCUAACAUUUGAGAUGGAAAAAGUAAUUAAGAAUUACUGACACAAAUAAAAAAACGUAUAUCGUUAUUGGCUCAAAUAAUUUAAUAAAAUUCAAGGUGAUACACAAAUAAAAAAUUUGGGCAAUUGUCAGACAACUCAUAAAAAGUUAUAUAAACCUUUUACAACUUUAUCAAAAGAAAAAAAGGCUGAAUGGAUCAUAAAUAAAUUAUGUAAACAGUCUUCAUUCAAUAAAGUUUGUAAUAUUAGUUGUUAAAUUCUGAUGACAUUAGUACCAAAAAAAAAUGAUAUGCAAUCUUUAAAAAAUGAUGAUGUGGAUUUUAAAAUAAUAAAAUCUUAUUUCACAAAUGAUGCGUGGGAAAAGAUUCUGGAAUUAAAUGAGAAGAUUAUGGCAGAGCCAUGGAUUUGUCAAAAAUGUUAUAUUGCUUUAGAUGAUGAUGCCUCCAUAUCAUGUGAUUUUUGCUUGUCCUGGUUUCAUUUUAAAUGUCAAAAAAUUUAAAAAAAACCAUAUAAAACUUAUUGGUAUUGUUUAAAUUGUUAAAUUUAUUUUUAUUCGCAUUUUAUAUUUUAAUUUUUAAAUGAUUAUAAUUAUUAAUGUAUUACAGUUGUAAAUGAA